rnacentral:tRNA from 1 species
CGGGGCGUAGCGCAGUUGGCUAGCGCACCUGCUUUGGGAGCAGGGGGUCGGAGGUUCAAAUCCUCUCGCCCCGACCA